rnacentral:tRNA from 1 species
GGGCCGGUGGCGCAACCAGGUAGCGCAGCUCCCUUGCAAGGAGAAGGUUGCGGGUUCGAGUCCCGCACGGUCCA